rnacentral:lncRNA from 1 species
UCCAAGAGUUUACAUUUUAGUUCCUAACACAUGGAAGCAUAACUGACUGUCUAUGUACAUGCCAUUUUAAUUCAAAAUAUGGUACCUCCUUUUGAAGCUCUUGAGGAUGUAAUGAGAUGAGAGAUCUUCUAUCCUGACUUUACCUCUUUGAGACAAACUGUACCUACGCGUUAAAAUUAAACGCGUUAAGCCGGUGAAGGCUUAGUAAGCACUACAAGAAAUAAACAGAUAAAUAAAUAUAAACAAAAUAUGCCAAAUUCUUUCUGUUAUUACGUAUUUACGUACGUAUAAGCUUCAUAAAACUUACCUUAGCAUUUUAAUGAUUCCCUUUUAUCCACAAAUCAUAAUCUUAGCCCAAAGUAGAUUUUAUAGAACACACCGGAUAUACGGAACAAAUACAGAGGUGCAUUGGUAUGCACUAAUGAACAGAGAGCACUAAAGUGCUAUACAGAGAGCACUGAUGUGCUAAACAGAGAGCACUGACAUGCUAAAAUCAGAGAGCACCAACGUGCUAAUAGUCAGAGAGCACUAACGUGCUAAUAAUCAGAGAGCGCGCUAAAGUUCCUUAAUGGCAUGCCACUAAUAUCCUGGUAGUUCUAAAUUCCAUCUACUUGGGCAUUAAAACUGAAUCUCAUUCAAUUAAAUACUUUAUAGAAUUAUUUCGAAAAAGAUUUCUCAUUUCUCUAUCAUUACAAUUUAGUGCAGAUUUCACAAUUCACAAUUAUCACACCAUUUUCACAUAUAUAUACUUUUGUCACAAUAUUUACUUAAUGUUCAAUCAAUGUACCACUAUAUACUUUCCAUAUAUAAUUCUCUUUACAAAUUUCAUAGUUCCAUAAUCUUUUAUUUUACUUUAUUUUAUUUUAUUUCUAAAUAAUUCUAUACUAUAAUAUAGGCAUUUAAAUAAAAUAAUUUUUUAAAAAAAUAACCUUGUAGUACAUACAACAAAAAGGUUGAGAUGAUAUCUUCCUUCACUCCUUAGCCUUCUCUUUCCCUUUUUCUUCAAUUAGGUCCUUUCCUUUCUUUUCUUUCUCUUCAAUUUCAAGAAAAGGACUUAAUUUGACUUACCAAUUUGAAAUUCGACCUUAAAAACCCUAAUUUUCUUCUUUACUUUUUCUUUCUUUCUUUCUCCCCUGUUUCUCCCCUGUUCCGUUUUGAAUUCUAUUCUAUUCUGUUUAUUUCUUUUCAUUUCUUUUUCUUUUGUUUUAUAUAUAUAAUAAUAUAAUAAUAUAAUAAUAUAAUAAUAUAAUAUAAUAACUUACUUAUUAAUUAAAUAUCAUAAUAUAUAAUAUAUAUAACUUAAAUUAAAAAAUAUCUUAGAUAUUUCAUUUGUUAUGCCACCUCAAUUUUAGAAAAAGGCAUAAUUGCCUAUUUGGUCUUUUUAACUUUCUUUAAUUUAUAAUUAAACUUUCACACUUAUUUCAAUCUAAUCCCUUUUUCCUAAUUACUUCCAAUUACAUCAAAUUCUCCUAGUCAAAACAUAAUUAGACGCACAAAUAACUUAGUAAAUAUUUAUAAUAAAUAUUUAAAAAUCUGAUUUACCGGAACAAAGUCCCAAUAAUGUUUUUGUUUUUUUAUUUAAUCUAUUUAAAUAAAUUUUACCAUAUAAUCAAUAAAGUUUUAUUAUCAAAAUUUUCAUGCAACAUUCCUAUCAUAAUAUAGACCAUACCACAAUAUUAAAAUAAAUUUUCUUUCUAGCUCAGAUUUGUGGUUACGAAACCACUAUUCCAAUUUACUGAAAAUGGGUCAUUACAACUCUUCCCCCCUUAAGGAUUUUCGUCCUCGAAAAUCUUACCAGUAAAGAGGUUUGGAUAUUUUUUCCUCAUUGUUUCCUCCGGUUCCCAAGUAGCCUCUUCAAUUCCGUGUCGUUGCCAAAGAACUUUCACUAGAUGUAUCUUCUUGUUUCUUAAUUCUUUUGUCUCCCGUGCCAAAAUUUUGAUCAGUUUUUCAUUAUGAAUCUCAAUCUCUGUCGGAGAAAUAACAUGUGAAGGAUUUGACCGUUACCGCCUUAACAUGGAUACUUGAAAAACAUUAUGAAUUCUAUCAACUUCUGGCGGCAAAGCUAACCGGUAUGCAACAGGUCCAAUCCGUUCAGUAAUUUCAUAUGGGCCGAUGAACCUUGGGCUCAAUUUACCUUUACGACCAAACCGAAGGACUUUUUUCCAAGGUGAUACUUUUAAGAAUACUUUAUCACCAAUCUGAAAUUCUAUCUUCUUCCUUUUAAGAUCGGCAUAUGACUUUUGUCGAUCAGAAGCUGCUUUCAAACUAUCUCGAAUCACCUUUACUUUUUCUUCAGUUUCUCGAACUAAAUCAACUCCAAAUAUCUUUUUCUCACUGAGUUCAGUCUAAUAUAAUGGUGUUUUACAUUUUCGACCAUACCAAGCCUCAUAAGGUGCCAUUUUAAUACUGGACUGAUAACUAUUAUUGUAGGCAAACUCAACCAAAGGCAAAUAUCUUUCCCAAUUGCCUUCAAACUCUAGUACACAACAUCGAAGCAUGUCCUCUAAUACCUGAAUUACACGUUCGGAUUGGCCAUCUAUCUGAGGAUGAAAUGCAGUACUGAAAUGCAACUGAGUACCCAGAGCUUCUUGUAAUUUUUCCUAGAAACGAGAUGUAAAUCGGGGAUCUCUAUCAGAGAUAAUAGAGUUUGGCACUCCAUGUAACCUGACAAUCUCAAAUACGUACAAUUCAGCCAAUUUAUCUAGAGAAUAAUCUAUACGUACCGGAAUGAAGUGCACUGACUUUGUUAGUCGAUCAACGAUCACCCAAAUGGCAUCUUUCUUCUUCGGUGAUAAUGGUAAUCAUGACACAAAAUCCAUAGUAAUUCUUUCCCAUUUCCACUCUGGUAUAGUAAUUGGCUGGAGUAAUCCCGAGGGUACCUGAUGUUCUGCUUUGACCUGUUGACAUAUCAGACAUCUUGAUACAAACUCAGAAAUAUCACGUUUCAUACCUGGCCACCAGUACAUCUUCUUCAAAUUAUUAUACAUUUUAUUAUUUCCCAGAUGUACAGACAUAAUACCACUGUGUGCCUCGUGUAAAAUCUUCUGCACAAGCUCUGAAUCCUUCGGUACACAUACUCUACCUCUGAAUAAUAAACAACCAUCAGUCCCAAUCUGAAAUUCUGAAUCAUUACCUGACUCACACUGUACCCGUUUAGCCUGUAACUCGUCAUCAUUUUUCUGAGCUUCACAGAUUUGCUGUAGAAACAUCAAUUUAGCUUUCAAUUCAGCUAUAAUUGUACCAUCAUCAGACAAUGACAGCUGAGCAUUCAUAGUUCGUAAAGCAAAUAGAGGUUUUCGGCUUAAAGCAUCAGCAACUACAUUAGCCUUACCUGGAUGAUAGUCAAUAACCAAAUCAUAAUCUUUUAACAAUUCGAGCCACCUGCGCUGUCUCAAGUUCAAAUCUUUCUGUGUCAUCAGAUACUUUAAACUUUUAUGAUCAGUAUAGAUAUGACAUUUUUCACCAUACAAGUAGUGUCGCCAUAUUUUCAAUGCAAACACAAUAGCUGCCAAUUCAAGAUCAUGUACCGGGUAAUUCUUUUCAUGUGGUUUUAGUUGUCUUGAAGCAUAGGCUAUUACUUUAUCUUCUUGUAUCAAAACACAACCUAAACCAUUUAAUGAGGCAUCACUGUAAAUAACAAAUUCCUUACCCGGUUCAGGCUGUACUAGAACAUGUGCUUUUGUUAAUAGAUCUUUCAAUCUGUCAAAACUCUGCUGACAUUUAUCAGUCCACUCAAAUUUUACAUCUUUCUGUAAUAGACCUGUCAUCGGAGAAGCUAUCAUAGAAAAUCCCUGUACAAAUCUCCUAUAAUAUCUAGCUAGCCCCAGAAAACUUCUGAUUUCAGAUACAUUCUUCGGCGGAUUCCAAUUGACAAUAACUGAAAUUUUACUCGGGUCUACUCCGAUGCCUUCAGCAGAUACAAUAUGUCCAAGAAACCCAACUUCCCGAAGCCAAAACUCACAUUUUCUAAAUUUAGCAUACAACUGCUUUUCACGCAAAGUUUGCAGUACAAUUCUCGAAUGGUCUGCAUGCUCGUUUUCAUCUCGAGAAUAAACCAGAAUAUCAUCAAUAAAUACUACCACAAACCUGUCUAAGUACGGUCUGAAUAUUCUGUUUAUCAGGUCCAUGAAUACAGCAGGUGCAUUUGUCAGUCCAAACGGCAUCACAAGAAACUCAUAGUUCCCAUACCUGGUUCUAAAAGCUAUCUUCGGUACAUCAGACUCCUUUACUCGUAACUGAUAGUAACCCGAUCGAAGAUCAAUCUUUGAAAAUAUGGUGGCACUCUUCAGCUGAUCAAACAAGUCAUCAAUCCGAGGUAAUGGAUAUUUAUUCUUUACUGUAACUUUAUUGAGCUUUCGGUAAUCAAUACAUAAUCUUAAAGUUCCAUCUUUCUUUUUCACAAACAGAACCGGCGCACCCCAGGGCGAGUGACUAGGACAAGCAAAACCCAUAUCAUUAAGCUCUUGCAACUGUGAUUUCAACUUUUUCAACUCAGUAGUAGCCAAUCUGUAAGGUGCUAUAGAGAUCGGAGUUGUUCCCGGAAUCAAAUCUAUAGAAAAUUCUAGCUCUCUUUCCGGUGGUAACCCAGGUAAUUCUUCUGGAAACAUAUCAGAAAAUUCACACACAACCGGCACUAACUGAAUUUUUGACUUGGAUACUUUGGUGUCCAAUACAUAAGCAAGAUAUGCAUUGCAUCAUUUUCUGACAUACCUCAAUGCUGUCAUGAUUGAAAUCACACUAGGAAACCCAUCUAAUUUAUCAGAUUCAACCCAAAGCAAUUCACCAUUCUGACAUUUUAUUACAAUGUACUUCUGUUUACAAUUCACUACUGCAUCAUGUUGAGUUAGCCAAUCCAUCCCCAAAAUCACAUCAAAUUCAUCAAAAGGCAAUAGCAUCAAGUCAACUAGAAAAAAAUAGCCCUUUAUCAUCAAUGGACAUUUUUUACAAAUUUUAUCCACUAUAACAUGCUGGCCCAGAGGGUUUGAAACUUUAACCACAAAUUUAGUAAAUUCAACAGGUAAAUUUUUAACAGACACUAACUUUGUACAUAUGUAUGAAUGUGUAGAACCAGGAUCAAUCAAAGCAGUAAUAUCAGUAUCAAGUAAAGAAAAUGUACCGGUAAUGACAUCUGGUGCAGCAGCAUGUUCUCUGGAAUGAAUGGCAUAUGUCCUGGCAGGUGCCAGCGCUUCAGAUCUAACUGUUUCUCUCACCGAUCUUGUACCACUAUGAGUGCCCUCAGAAAUUCCAGGUCUUCUACCUUUUUGUGGAACUGAACUACCUCUCGCAGACUGUUCGGUAACACUUUCUGACAUUUUUGGACAAUCUUUAAUCAAAUGAUCUCUCGAUCCACAUCGGAAACAAGCUCGAGAAUUUAGUCAACAUUCUCCCCAAUGAUAUCUUUCACCAUACUCACAUAAUGGAAAUGUUGGUUUUCUUCUGAAACCUCCAGUACGACCUAUAGAAGUCGCUUGCUGAGUUUGUUUUGUCUGACUUCUAGAUCUUUGCUCAACAGUAGGAAAAGUGUACUUAUAACCUCUAGAAUCCCUCACUCUUUUUGAAGGCAAUGGCGGUGCAGAACUAGUUGCUAAUCUCUUCCCAAAACUCUUCUCUUUCGAACGAGCUAACCCUUCUUCCAGUCGUUGUGCUCUAUCAACCAAAAUAGAAAAUUCUUGUAGAUGUAAUGGUAUAAGAGGAACAUAAAUUUCUUCAUUCAAUCCCCACCCAAAUCUUCUGCACAUAUCAGCUUCAUCUGCUAUUAAUUCCUUAGCAUAUUUACUUAAUCUGAUAAAUUCACGUUCGUAUUCAGUAACAGACAUGUUAUUCUGCUUCAAAUCCAGAAAUUCCCUUUUCUUCUUCUCCAGAUAAAGUUGACUCACAUAUUUCUUUUUAAAUUCAGACACAAAGAAAUUCCAAUUAAUUUUUUCUCCAGAAUGAAUAUUCAUGACAGUGGUCCACCAUUGAUAAGCUUCACUCUUUAAUAAAGAUACUGCACAUUUUAGAUUUUCCUCCCCUGUACACUGCAAUUAUUCAAAUAUUCUUUGACUAUUUUCUAACCAUUCUUCGGCCUCAACUGGAUCAUCAUCUUUCUUUCCUUUAAACUCUUCAGGCCCAUAUUUUCUUAUUCUUUCUAAGGGAGAUCGAUGACUGGUUAUAGAUGGUUGUGGAUGUGGAACCGUAGGAGAAGAAGAUGGUGGUGGAACAGGUGGAACAUUAUUAAUUCUUACAACUUGCUGCAAUAACUGAUUCAUUGUUUGUAACAAAGCUGCAAUUGGAACCUCUUUUCUAGGCGGUAUCGGCUCAGUUUCGGUUUGAGUUCUUUCUUCCAAUCCAGGCUCCCUAUCAUCCCCUAAGUUUACCGAUUCACUUCGAGCUUUAGCUCUCUGUUGAUUUCUUUCUCUAUCAAAGUUUAGCGCCCUACUCUCAACUUCAUUUUCUAACUCUUCACGAGAUCUAUUUGACAUCUUUAAAUUUCUACAAUAUUUGCAAAUUAUACAAUUAAAUAAAUAAACCUCAUCUCAUCACAUCAAUACAUAAAAUGACAUGUACAAAUAGACUCAUUCUCGACCCAAGAAUUCAGAAAACUUAGGCUCUGAUACCAAUAAAUGUAACAACCCUAUAGCUAGUCUAAUCGUACUGACCCAGUAUAAGGCUAUUACAUUUGGUGCCAAACGAUUAUAGCUAGAUAUUAUUUAAUUAAAACAUUUAUACAUAGCAUUUUAACUUACCAACCAUAUUUGCAAACAUACAUAUAGUUUUACUAAUUCAUUUUAUAUAUAUAUAGCAAAAUAUGUAAAGUACUUAAAAAUAGAUAGAAGUCCAAGAGUUUACAUUUUAGUUCCUAACACAUGGAAGCAUAACUGACUGUCUAUGUACAUGCCAUUUUAAUUCAAAAUAUGGUACCUACUUUUGAAGCUCUUGAGGAUGUGAUGAGAUGAGAGAUCUUCUAUCCUGACUUUACCUCUUCGAGACAAACUGUACCUACGCGUUAAAAUUAAAUGCGUUAAGCCGGUGAAGGCUUAGUAAGCACUACAAUAAAUAAACAGAUAAAUAAAUAUAAACAAAAUGUGACAGCCCAAAAUUGACCCUAGUCGGGAAGUGGUUUCGGGACCGCUAAACCGAGUCACCGAAAUGUUUGAAUGUGAUAUUUAUUGUCUAGAAUAUGUAAUUAUGAAUGUGUGAAAAUUUCAAGCUUCGAUUUAGUCGAUUGCAUGUGAAUUUAGUCAAUAGGACUUAUGUGCGACAUUUUUGAAAUGUGAUUGGUCGAAGCAUAAGGACCUAUUAGUGCAUGAAAUAAAAAGGGGGGACUUGCAUGUCAAAUUCCCCCCUAAUUAGUAGUGGCCGGCCAUGACAAGCAUGGUAGACCAAGUGUGAUGGGCAAGACAUGUCAUAGACAUGUUGUGUUGGUGCAUCAUGGGUGGAAAAAAAUAAAAUAAGGAGCAUGGGCAUAAAAUAAUAAAAGGGAAUAUGAUGAAAACAAAAAAAAAAGAGUGUGUGGUUGUUUUCCCCCCAUUGCCGUGAGUUAAAGAAAAGAAAAGAGAAAAUUUUGUUCAUCCUUUUUCAUCUUCAUUUGGCCGAAAAUUCUAAGGAAGGAGGAAGGAGUUCUUGCUUCAUGUUUGGUUUGGAAGAGGAUUAGGAGGAGGUUUGGCCAUACUUGUAUCUAGAUCAAGGUAUGUUUGAGGUUGUGCCGUGAGAUUCAUGUAUGUUUUUAGUUGCUAGCUUGAGUUCUAAUUAGCCCAUGGUUCAAAUCUUUGCUAUGUCAUGGGGAUGAUAUUCGGCCUAGGUAGAUUUUGUGUUAAUGCCAUUGCAUGCUAAAUAUGAAGCUUGUUAAUGAUGCAUGUGAUGGUGGAUUGAUGAUUCUUGAAUCUUCUUUUUAGCAUUUUUGAGUGAGCACAUAUGUGCAUUGGUUGCUAGAUGGAGAAGAAUCGGCUAGCAAGUUGUGUGCUAAGGCCGAAUAUAAUUUUUGUAUAUUAAUGAGUAAUGCAUGGGUUAAAUUGAUGGAAAGGGAGAGGAUGCUUUACUAGUGUAUAUAUGUGUGUAUUAGCCAAGUUUUGAACUUGAAACAAAAGGGUGUUUAGUCAAUACAAGUGACCAUACUUGUAGAAUGUAUUAAGUGUUGAAAUCGGCCCCAACAUAGACAUGCAUAUUCGGCCAUAGGAAGGAGAUUGGUGUUGCAUGUAUUCGGUUAGAGGCAAGCAUAUUGAUGCUUUUGUCUUGGCUUAGAAAAUUCAGCCAUGGGGGAAAAAUUAGCUAAAAUGUUCAGUUUGAUUCAUGAUUCCGUACAUAUGUGACUUUAAUGUCUAAUGUAUAAAUAUGGGCUAAGUGCCUUGUGUUCCUCUUUUCGAUGCUCAAAUGAUUAAAUCAAUUUAUUUGUUUAAUUAAGCUCAAGAGCAAAGGGGAACUAAAUCCGAUAAAGGGAAGGAAAAAGUGGUCGAAUAGCUAUCGGAAUCGUUCGACAACACCCGAGGUAAGUUCUUGAGUAAAAGAGCUUAAAUUAUGAUUUGAUUAGAUCAUGUUUUAAGCAAACCAAAAUCAUGCUCUUUGUGUGUGGCUAUUGAGCCGAAAUUGCAAGAAUGAUAAGUGUCUUGUGUUUGAGUUUUGUUAACGAAAAUGAAAUACGAAUGUGCCAUGAUUUACUGUUAAAUGUGCAUGGUUAUUUGAAUGAUGUCCGGGCUAAGUCCCGAAGGCUUUGUGCUAAGUGACCAUAUUCGGACUAAGAUCCGAAGGCAUUUGUGCGAGAUACUAAUUCCGGGCUAAGCCCGAAGGCAUUUGUGCGAGUUACUAAAUCCGGGUUAAGUCCCGAAGGCAAUUGUGCGAGUUACUAUAACCGGGCUAUGUCCCGAAGGCAUUUGAACGAGUAGCUAUAUCCGGUUAAAUUCCGAAGGUACGUGAUUUGGGAAUGAAUGAUCUUGCUGUAAAAAUUUCAAUAAAUACUCUAGAAACAUCCCAACAUUGAGGUAUGUUUCGUAUGUGCUUGAAUUUAGUUGAGCCCUUACAAAUAAGUAUUCGCUCAGUUGAUAAACGAGCUACCGGCCUUUGGCUAAGUUGAUCUUUUGUGUAUGUACAUAAGGGUUGGUAAUGUGAAGCAAGUAUGAUAUCGAAAAUUUGUGCAUAUGAAAUUAUCCGUUUAGCUAUAUGAAUGCUAUACUUUUGCUGUGCUGGAAUUCCUUGCUCAAAACUUACUAAGCAUAAAUUGCUUACUCCGUUUCUUUGAUUCUCUGUUUUAUAGAUUUUGGUUCUCCAGCUAUCGAACUCGGGAUUUUGAAGUCGAAGUCGCCCACACUAUCAAAGCCCCCCCUUUUGGUACAAUUUUGGUCGAACUUCGAAAUGGCAUGUAUAGGACUACCCGUUCGUUGUGGGUCAUGGACCCUUUGGACUUGUAUAAUUUUGGAUAGCCAUGCGAAAAUGGCUUAUAUAUGUUUGAGUAUAAUGUUAUAAUCAUUUGGUAUGGAUAUGGUUAUUGAGAGGUGUGGAUAUGCUUGACAAGGAUUGGCCAUGAGAAUGGUUAAUCACUAUCAUAAAUUGUGCUAUUUAUGCAAAAGGGCUAGUUGAAUCAUGGAAACUAUGAAAUAGGUAAAGUCUACCUUAAAGGCAGAUGCUGAUAGCAGUAGUGAUGUAGAUUUGUAAAAUCACUAAAAAUAGUAGGAAUGGAAUUAAAUAGUAAAUAAAUUAUGUAAACGAACCUUGAUGAAUCUAUUUUCAUAGGAAAGUAACGAAACAAUCAUACGGGAAGUAUGUUAAGAGAUAUUCAGGUUCUUGUGAGACAGGGCCAGAACGGUUUCUGGAUUUCCUGUUCCGACUUUGGAAAUUCAUUAUAAAUUAACCAGAGACAAUUAGGAGUCAAGCCAUAUAUUUAUAGAUUCCUCUCUGAGUCUAGUUUCUAUAGAAACAAACGAAAUCAGUAUUGAAGCCCUGUACAGGGAGAUAUCCAAGUCGUAAUGCGCAAAGGUCAGUGUAGUCGAUCCCUGUAACAUGGGAGACUUUGACUAAUAAACUGUACUAAUUGGCCCAACCAAAAAUUUUUAGAAAAAAAUAUGUAGAUGGAAAUAUGAGUCUAUUUUCAGGGAAAAUUUACAGAACUGGAUUCCGAGUUUCUGAACUCAAGAUAUGAUUUUUAAAGUGACUAGUACGCAGAUUGGCAGUGUCUGGGAAAUUAUUUUUAAAGUCUGUUAACACCUCGUGUUCGACUUCGGUGACGGUCUCGGGUUCGGGGUGUUACACAAAAUAUGCCAAAUUCUUUCUGUUAUUACGUAUUUACGUACGUAUAAGCUUCAUAAAACUUACCUUAGCAUUUUAAUGAUUCGCUUUUAUCCACAAAUCAUAAUCUUAGCCCAAAGUAGAUUUUAUAGAACACACCGGAUAUAUGGAACAAAUACAGAGGUGCAUUGGUAUGCACUAAUGAACAGAGAGCACUAAAGUGCUAUACAGAGAGCACUGAUAUGCUAAACAGAGAGCACUGACAUGCUAAAAUUAGAGAGCACCAACCUGCUAAUAGUCAGAGAGCACUAACGUGCUAAUAAUCAGAGAGCGCGCUAAAGUUCCUUAAUGGCAUGCCACUAAUAUCCUGGUAGUUCUAAAUUCCAUCUACUUGGGUAUUAAAACUGAAUCUCAUUCAAUUAAAUACUUUAUAGAAUUAUUUCGAAAAAGAUUUCUCAUUUCUUUAUCAUUACAAUUUAGUGCAGAUUUCACAAUUCACAAUUAUCACACCAUUUUCACAUAUAUAUACUUUUGUCACAAUAUUUACUUAAUGUUCAAUCAAUGUACCACUAUAUACUUUCCAUAUAUAAUUCUCUUUACAAAUUUCAUAGUUCCAUAAUCUUUUAUUUUACUUUAUUUUAUUUUAUUUCUAAAUAAUUCUAUACUAUAAUAUAGGCAUUUAAAUAAAAUAAUUUUUUAAAAAAAUAACCUUGUAGUACUUACAACAAAAAGGUUGAGAUGAUAUCUUCCUUCACUCCUUAGCCUUCUCUUUCCCUUUUUCUUCAAUUAGGUCCUUUCCUUUCUUUUCUUUCUCUUCAAU